UACGUAGGGACCGAGCGUUGUCCGGAUUCAUUGGGCGUAAAGAGCUCGUAGGCGGCCACUCAAGUCGAAUGUGAAACCUCGAGGCUUAACCUCGAGCCUGCAUUCGAUACUGGGUGGCUAGAGUCUGGUAGGGGGAUCUGGAAUUCCUGGUGUAGCGGUGGAAUGCGCAGAUAUCAGGAGGAACACCGGUGGCGAAGGCGGGAUCCUGGGCCAGUACUGACGCUGAGGCGCGAAAGCGUGGGGAGCAAACAGG
rnacentral:rRNA from 1 species